AGUGAACGCUGGCGGUAGGCCUAACACAUGCAAGUCGAACGGCAGCACAGUAAGAGCUUGCUCUUACGGGUGGCGAGUGGCGGACGGGUGAGGAAUACAUCGGAAUCUACUUUUUCGUGGGGGAUAACGUAGGGAAACUUACGCUAAUACCGCAUACGACCUACGGGUGAAAGCAGGGGACCUUCGGACCUUGCGCGAUUGAAUGAGCCGAUGUCGGAUUAGCUAGUUGGCGGGGUAAAGGCCCACCAAGGCGACGAUCCGUAGCUGGUCUGAGAGGAUGAUAGGCCACACUGGAACUGAGACACGGUCAAGACGCCUACGGGAGGGAGCAGUGGGGAAUAUUGGACAAUGGGCGCAAGCCUGAUCCAGCCAUACCGCGUGGGUGAAGAAGGCCUUCGGGUUGUAAAGCCCUUUUGUUGGGAAAGAAAAGCAGCAGGUUAAUACCCCGCUGUUCUGACGGUACCCAAAGAAUAAGCACCGGCUAACUUCGUG
rnacentral:rRNA from 1 species